rnacentral:rRNA from 1 species
CCCUUAGAUGUUCUGGGCCGCACGCGCGCUACACUGACGAAUGCAACGAGCUUAUAACCUUGGCCGAAAGGUCUGGGUAAUCUCCAAAUUUCGUCGUGAUGGGGAUAGAUUAUUGCAAUUAUUAAUCUUCAACGAGGAAUGCCUAGUAAGCGCAAGUCAUCAGCUUGCGUUGAUUACGUCCCUGCCCUCUGUACACACCGCCCGUCGCUCCUACCGAUUGAAUGGUCCGGUGAAGCGUUCGGACCGUGGCCUUUGGACGGUUCGCCGUCUGUUGGCUGCGGGAAGUUCGUUAAACCUUAUCAUUUAGAGGAAGGAGAAGUCGUAACA